GACGAACGCUGGCGGCGUGCUUAACACAUGCAAGUCGAACGGAAAGGCCCUGCUUUUGUGGGGUGCUCGAGUGGCGAACGGGUGAGUAACACGUGAGUAACCUGCCCUUGACUUUGUGAUAACUUCAGGAAACUGGGGCUAAUACCGGAUAGGAUCUCCUGCUGCAUGUUGGGGGUUGGAAAGUUUCGGCGGUUGGGGAUGGACUCGCGGCUUAUCAGCUUGUUUGUGGGGUAGUUGCUUACCAAGGCUUUGACGGGUAGCCGGCCUGAGAGGGUGACCGGCCACAUUGGGACUGAGAUACGGCCCAGAAUCCUACGGGAGGCAGCAGUGGGGAAUAUUGCACAAUGGGCGGAAGCCUGAUGCAGAAACGCCGCGUGCGGGAUGACGGCCUUCGGGUUGUAAACAGCUUUCGAAUGUGACGAAGAGUGAGUGACGGUAAUGGGUAAAGAAGCACCGGCUAACUACGUG
rnacentral:rRNA from 1 species